rnacentral:lncRNA from 1 species
CGGCGACCCGCUCAGCGUCUACUGCGAGCCCGGCCGCCAGGUGGUCUGCGGCCUCUGCGCCUCCCUCGGCAAGCACCGGGGCCACAGCGUCCUCACCGCCGCCGAGGCCCACCAGCGCAUGAAGGUGCGCCCGAGCCCCUCCGCCCCGGCCUCGGGCCUUCCCGCCGCCGCUAACGCUGUCUUCCUCUCCCGCCCCGGCGCAGAAACUCAUGCCCCAGCAGCAGGCGCAGCUCCAGGAGGCCCAAGCCCGCAAGGAGAAGACCAUCGCUCUGCUGGACCAGCAGAUCGCCGAGGUGGAGGACACGGUGGCGUGCUUCAAGCGCCAGGUGGCGGAGCAGCUGGGGGUGAUGCGGGGCUUCCUGGCGGCGCUGGAGACCUCCCUGGGGGGGGGGGACGGGAAGGGGGCAACUACCUGGAGCAGCUGCGGCAGAUGGAGGCCGUCCUGGACGAGGUGCAGGAGGAGAACCAGACCGCCUUCCUCCGGGUGAGCCGCCGGGUGCUGGGUCGCUGGGUGCUGGUUGGUUGGGUGCUGGUUGCCCAGAUUGGUUGGAUGCUGG